rnacentral:rRNA from 1 species
UACGUAGGGGGCAAGCGUUGUCCGGAAUCAUUGGGCGUAAAGCGCGUGUAGGCGGCCCGAUAAGUCCGCUGUGAAAGUCCAGGGCUCAACCCUGGAAUGCCGGUGGAUACUGUCGGGCUCGAGUCCGGAAGAGGCGAGUGGAAUUCCUGGUGUAGCGGUGAAAUGCGCAGAUAUCAGGAAGAACACCAACGGCGAAGGCAGCUCGCUGGGACGGAACUGACGCUGAGGCGCGAAAGCGUGGGGAGCGAACAGG